UAGUGAUUUUAAUCUUCUCUCUUUUUUUCUUAGUUUGCUACAGGCUCAUCACGUUUGUUGAUCUUUGAAUUUUUGUUUUGUUGAAUUUAUUAAACAGUCAUCUUUGGGAAGCUGUUGGCAUUAUUAAUUUUCCCCAGAAAAAUAAGAAAAACUCAGGAGGAACUUUUGUGCAACUGUUACAUAAAUUAAUCUAACACUUGGAAACUAUCAAUUUUGCAGCUGUAGAGACCAAAUCAAUUACUUCAAUAACUGGUCUAACAUCUUAGUGCUUUAGAGAUGGAGUUUCAAUAUGCCGGCCAGGCUUGUCUCCAACCUCUGACCUCAAGUGAUCUGCCAACCUUGGCUUCUCAAAGUGCUGGGAUUACAGGUUGCCUUCCCCUCACUCUAGAUAGCCAUCUUGAGCUGUUUCUAAAACGACCCCUGCUGAUCUCUUCCUAUGGGUGA
rnacentral:lncRNA from 13 species